rnacentral:lncRNA from 1 species
UGGAAUUGAUUACAAACAGCUUGCAGUUAUGACAGAAGGUUAUAGUGGAAGUGAUCUGAAGGUAUAUAUAUGGUGUGAAUCAAUAUAUGUUAUGGUAUAGUAAAUUAAAAUCUUGUAGAGUGAAUUUUUAUUGAAUUUAAUUGCAGAAUUUAUGUACAACAGCAGCAUAUCGACCUGUUAGGGAAUUUAUUCAGAUGGAGAGAAAAAAUGAAGAGGUUAGAUUUAUACAGACAUAUUGCUUUAAUUGUUUAUUCUUAUUUUCUUAUAUCCAUUUUUUUGUAUUCCACAGGUUCCAAAUUUCGAAUAAAUCACGUUUUUAUUCUCUUGUUUAUUAUUUGCAGAAAAAGAAGGAAAAAUCCGAGAAUUCAGAAACUGAGAAUUCAGAAGCUGAGAAUUCAGAAAUCAAAAUCCGGGAAUUAAGCAUGGAAGACUUGAGACAGGCAAAGAACCAGGUCAUUUAUCUCUCUUCUAUUCAUUACUAAUACAUGCAUACAUGCAGCUGUGAAAAUAUUGAAAUAGAGAACGAUUCAUGUAACAUACCUUUAGAUAACAUCUCAUGUAGAACGAUUUGUGAAUACAUUGCAUGUUGUCUCAAUCUCGAGAUUCUACUCCUAUUGAAAUAACCCAAGAUGAUCGAAAUUACUUGAGAUAUAUUGUGA